UGGUGGCGGCGAUGCUGGCAGAGGAGGAGGAGGAGGAGAAGAAGAAGAAGAGGCAGCUCCCUUGAGCGUCCCCAGCAGCAGUAGUCACCGCGGCGACGGUGGGAGCGGCGGCUUCUUCCUCUCACCUGCGCUCCAGGGCUUGCUGCUCCCAGCCUGUGCGGGCUCCCCGGUUUCCCCGCCGCCAUGUGGCGGCGGCCAAACUCCGCGGCGUCCCCUGGGCUCCGGCUUCGCCCUCUCCGCCGUGGCCGCGCGGCUUUUCGGCUCCGACAUGGAAGACGGACCUUCUAAUAAUGCGAGCUGCUUCCGAAGGCUGACCGAGUGCUUCCUGAGCACCAAAGCUAAUGGCUUGACCGAUGAAAAAGUGAAGGCAUGUCUCUCUCUUCACCCCCAGGUAUUAGAUGAAUUUGUAUCUGAAAGUGUUAGUGCAGAGACAGUAGAGAAAUGGCUGAAGAGGAAGAACAACAAAUCAGAAGAUGAAUCGGCUCCUAAGGAAGUCAGCAGGUACCAAGAUACGAAUCUGCAGGGAGUUGUAUAUGAACUAAACAGCUACAUAGAACAAUGGCUGGAUGCAGGAGGAGACAACCAGCUACUCCUCUAUGAACUGAGCAGCAUCAUAAAAAUAGCCACGAACGCUGAUGGAUUUGCACUGUAUUUCCUUGGAGAGUGCAAUAAUAGCCUGUGCAUAUUCACACCACCUGGGAUAAAGGAAGGAAAACCCCGCCUCAUCCCUGCUGGGCCCAUCACCCAGGGCACCAUCAUCUCUGCUUAUGUGGUCAAGUCCAGGAAAACACUGCUAGUAGAAGACAUCCCUGGGGAUGUCUUCCACGAGGUAUUGGACUGGAAUCAGGGACUCACAUCCAGUCUGUUCUUUGCCUGUCUUAGUCACCAAGAGGUUGCAACAGCAAAUCUUGCCUGGGCUUCAGUAUCAGGUGCAGUAUCAGGUGCAGGUAUGCAGAGGCCUUGCCAAACAGACUGAAUUGAAUGACUUUCUACUCGAUGUAUCAAAAAUGUAUUUUGAUAACAUAGUUGCAAUAGAUUCUCUACUUGAACACAUAAUGAUAUAUGCAAAAAACCUGGUGAAUGCCGAUCAUUGUGCACUUUUCCAGGUAGACCAUAAGAACAAGGAGUUAUAUUCAGACCUUUUUGAUACUGGAGAGGAAAAGGAAGGAAUACCUGUCUUCAGGAAGACCAGAGAGAUCAGAUUUUCAAUAGAGAAAGGAAUUACUGGUCAAGUAGCAAGAACAGGGGAAGUCCUGAACAUUUGAGAUGCCUAUGCAGACCCACACUGUAACAUAGAGUAGUAGACUUGUACACAGGCUACACCACGCGGAACAUCCUGUGCAUGCCCAUCGUCAGCCGAGGAAGUGUGAUAGGUAUUGUGCAAAUGGUCAGUAAAAUAAGUGGCAGUGCCUUCUCUAUAACAGAUGAAAACAACUUAAAAAUGUUUGUCGUCUUUUGUGCUUUAGCGUAACACCGUGUAAUAUGUAUCAUAGAAUUCGUCACUCAGAGUGCAUUUACCAGGUAACAAUGGAAAAGCUGUCCUACCAUAGCAUUUGUACUGCAGAAGAGUGGCAAGGCCUCAUGCGAUUCACCCUUCCCGUGCAUCUCUGCAAAGAAACUGAAUUAUUCCACGUUGACAUUGGUCCUUUUCAAAACAUGUGGCCUGGAAUUUUUGUCUGUAUGGUUCAUCGGUCCUGGUUGAGCUUGAAAGGUUGUGUCGUUUUAUUAUGUCUGUGAAGAAGAACUACUGGCGAGUUCCCUAUCACAACUAGAAGCAUGCAGUCACUGUGGCGCAGAGCAUGUACACCAUACUUCAGACCUUGAGCGCAAAGGACUGUUGAUUGCGUGUCUGUGCCAUGACCUGGACCACAGGGGCUUUAGUAACAGCUACCUGCAGAAGUUAGACCACCCUCUGGCAGCUCUCUACACCUCCAACAUGGAGCAGCACCACUUCUCCCAGACGGUGUCCAUCCUCCAAUUGGAAGGGCACAAUAUCUUCUCCACCUUGAGCUCCAGUGAAUAUGAGCGGAUGCUUGAGAUCAUCCACAAAACCAUCAUUGCCACAGACCUUGCUUUAUACUUUGGAAACAGGAAACAGUUGGAGGAGCCCUACCAGACUGGAUCGCUAAACCUUAAUAAUCAAUCACAUAGAGACCGUGUAAUUGGUUUGAUGAUGACUGCCUGUGAUCUUUGUUCUGUGACAAAACUGUGGCCUGCUACAAAAUUGACGGGAAAUGAUACAUAUGCAGAAUUCUGGGCUCAGGGUGAUGAAAUGGAGAAAUCGUGAAGACAGCCUGUUCCUCUGAUGGACAGAGACAAGAAGGAUGAAGUCCCACAAGGCCAGCGUGGGUUCUACAAUGCCGUAGCCAUUCCCUGCUGUACAACCCUUACCCAGAUCCUGCCUCCCACGAAGCCUCUCCUGAAAGCAUGCAGAUAUAAUCUCAGUCAGUGGGGGAAGGUGAUUCGAGGGGAGGAGACUGCAACUUGGAUUUCAUCCCCUUCCGUGGCUCAGAAGGCAGCUACAUGUGAAGACUGAGCUCUGAUCACCUGACACGCCAUCCCACCCACAGAUCCUCAUCUUGCUUCUUUGACAUUUUUUCCUUUUUUUGGGGGGGGUGGGGGGAACCUACACCUGGUAACUGGGGUGUAGACCUCUUCGAGAAGGUAACAUCAAGUAAAUAAGUCAAGCAAAGGACUUCCUGCCAGUCUCUUCUGUGAGGCGUCAUAGACACUGAACAACCAGGACUACCCCAUGUUCAGAAAUCAGCUGGCCAAGUGACUUGCAAGCCAGCCUUUUCUAAUAGGCUGAUAUUGUUGAGGCUUUAAUGGAAGUGGACAAAAAUUCAGAAGGGCAGGCAUGCGCGCUCCCUUCUGGGCUAGCAGUUGCGGGGCGCGCGCCUGGGCCAGCCGUUAGCUGUUUCGGUUUGAGCAUAAACGGCCAGUCUUGAAUACCCAAUGCAGGAUUUCCAGCGGGGGCGCACAAACCUGGGGAGGGCAGAUGGAAGCCGCAGGGACUCUAAAGGCAGCCCCAGGCUGGCUAAAGCGGCCGCUGGUUCAGAAACCCAGGCCUGAGUGCUCGGGCUCCACCUGGCCUGGUUCAGCUCACGACCCACGCAGCUCUGGAUUCCAGGCAGGAAGCUCAAGGGUCAGGGAAACACCUCUGCUGGUGAAUUAUUCACCCCGCAUUGAGUUAUCGUGACGCCCUGUGGCUUUGGGAAACCUCUCCACAACCAAGUGGAGCCACAGCUCUCCGCUAACGAGACGUCUCACUCUCGCCCAGGAUGGAGUGCAGUAGAGCGACCUCGGCUUACUGCAACAUCCGCCUCCCGGGUUCAAGUGAUUCUCCUGCCUCAGCUUCCCAGGUAGCUGGGACUACAGUCGUCGGCCACUACAUCCGGCUGGCCUAGAAUUUCUGAGUGAAACGAUUGCUUAAGAUUUUAGAAUCAGUUCCCCUUAUUCUUGUUCUCUCUGCAGUUAGAAAAACAAUGUCUAACCCAGCAAUGAGCUUUUGACGGAAUGUCUCAUUUUAAAAGGAAUAUGAGAUCAUUGAGUUGGACCCAGAGAAACAACUCAAAGAAAACUUCCAUUAAUGAGAACCCAAAAGCUGAUGGCCAGACAAAAGGAUGAGAGGAAAUGCUGGAUCUCCAGUUUCUUAUUAAUGGCUCAGUUUUUGAUGUUGUUGGUGGUGGUUUGUUUGUUUUUGAGCUUUCAAAAUGUAUUUUAAUCUCAUUCCAAAAAGAAAAUUUCUAGAGACUAUAUAUAUAUAUGUCAGAAGGGGUACUUCUCCAUUGUAUCUUUCUACUAAGGAUUGGUACUAUUAUGGUAUUGUACUCGGGCUCUGACAUCAAUGUUGCUUUGAUGUUGUUGGUUAUAAAUAGGAAUUUUUACACGUUACUAUCGUGAAUGUUCAUGUGUGACCUACUUGUAAUUAACUUGAGAUGUAACCCAAAGCCUCAGGACAAAUGUCCUUUGGUUUGAGGUUAUAGAGUAAGCAGUGAUGGGAAAACGUCAAAUUCUUAUUUCAGAGCUUCAUGAAUUUAGACAGUCAGACUAUAAGUUAAAACUAAAGGGCUGAGAUGAAUACAUUUAACACUAAAAGAAGUAGACCUUAAGAGAUGAGGUAUGCGUUACAACAAAUCUCAGAACUUCAAGCAUCAGUUCAAAAGAUGACAAUUUUUAAAUUUUUUUCAUUGAUGUCUUGGCAAUUUUACUGAACCCUUUGCGUAAAGAACAAAAUAAAAGCAAGGCAUUGUAAAAUUUUUUUAAUAGACAACUCUUAUGGAUAUAAAGUGUAAAUUUUUCAUAAUGAUUUCUUUAUAUUUUCACUGUGUCAUUGCAGAAUUUUAGACUCAUAUUCACAAUGAAAGGUUUAUUCGUAACGUUGUUUAAUUAAAGUAUCACACAUUUCUUUUUUAAACAUCAAACCAUAAAAUGUGUCUUGUGAUUUUACUUUGACCUGCUGCAUUCACCUCUCAUGUAUCUCUUUCCACAUGCUGCAUGGUCAUAUUUCAUGAGCUUUCUGUCCAUAGCACAGAAACAAAAGCAGGAAGUAGUACAGUCAUGUUGGACCUUCCUUCCGUUCUCUUUACUCUUCUCGCAGAUCAAAUCAUUCCAUAGAAACCUGUGGUUUCUUCUAUAUGGCUUUUGGGUUGACUAGCAUUACUAUACAAUGUAAGUGUUUUGAACAAUACAAAAAUAAUACUCUGCACCCCUUCCUACAGAGAUUGUAAGGUAGUCACUUCUGGUGCGUAUUAAUACUUUAAAGAUUUUUAGCACAAUGACACAGUAACUUCCAACCCUGUUCUAACCUGAAGGAAUCAGAGACUCAGGAAGUGAAAGGCCAAUCAUAACAGAUAACUUACUCACUUUUCAUGUGGCAGGAAACUGGAAUAUCACUUUUAAUAAAAUAAAAUUGAAAAAAUGCUUCUACAUAUUUAAUACCAUAGGCAUUUUGUUCAGAUGAGCCUGGUUUGUGCAAAAUUAAAUCAGAGGCUUCUACAACAUGGUUUAUUUAUGUUGGCUCUACAUAAGCACUGUUCUUAUUUUAAAAUUAACACUAUGUGUUCAGUUUUCUUCUGGGCUUCUGAAAGUUGCCAUCUUCCCUACAUGGAGCUCCAUUUGCUAUUUUAAUUAUACACUAUGACAUAAAAUGUAAUAACUAAAGAAAGAGAAAUACCACUGUGGCUAGAUGUAUACACACACACAUAUAUAUGGAAGGAUGUAAUAUAUGUAAAACACAUACAUAGAUGUAUAUAGGAUGCACAGUCAUAUGUACGUAGACAUAUACAUACGUGUAUAUAUGAUACACACAUGGAUGAGAGACAGAAGGAAAGGAAGAGAGAAGCAAACAUGUUGGAAAAAAUAUAAAUCAGCCUGUUCUUCCAUUCCUUAAAAACAAUGACUUUGCUUGAUAGAAAAUACAUAUUACUUGAUAGUUGACAAGGAAGUGUCAUUUUUUGUUAGUGUAUUCAUAUAAUUGAAUUUGAACAAGUUACAUAUUUUUCUGCAUACAAAUUUAUGAAGCUGGAUUCUACCAAAUACAUCUUAAUUCACAAAAGUUAAUUUAGUCAUCUAAUUUAACUUGGGAAAGGAUAUGUUAUUUAAUAUUAUUGUUUAAUUACAAAAAUCUUUAAAGAAUAUAUGAAUUCUGUUUUUUAAUGUAGAAAUAAUUAUGGAGUUAGGACUCUCAUGGCUACUUUUACAUUUUUAGGUUGAUUAUUACAGAAAAUUCUCUUAAUUUAUUAUAGGCAAGUGUAUUAUAUAAUCUCUGUUUUGAACAGUUUCCCAAAGGAAUGUGAUUGGAUUUACUGGUUGGUUAAUUUCUUGUGAAAUAUUGUCAUAGUAGAAGCACAGCUUGAACGAAAGACUGUAUUUUGAUAUAAACUGUCAGUAUUGCUUUUACCAUGUGUAAGAUUUACUUAAUAAUCACAGAUGUAUGUAAAAUAAAAGGACCCAGGAUGCAGGAAUAUUUAAUAAUUUGUUUUGAAAAACAUGCAGUUAGGAAUAUUUUUGUAUUUUAUCAGAUAUGUUUAGCAGACAAACAUCUGAGUUCUAUUUCUUGUCUUUUUCCCAGAUCUUUUCUUAAAAGAAAAAUAUGACACCAGAAGCCAAGAGAUGGUUUUUACUAACAACAGCUUUGAUGAGUUGUUAUUAAGGUCAUACUGUGUAUUGUGCCAAAUUUUCCACCAGUGUAAAUUUAGUAACCAGCUAUGAGGAUAUGUAGGAUAUUCAAUUUGCAGAAAUUUAUAUUGGCUAUGUUGAUUUGUAAUAGACAAGUUUUAUAGUCAUAUGCAAUUAUUUUAUUACCUUUUGGACAUAGCGAAUAUGUUUUUUAUCUAAAAAUGUCCUUAGAAACAUAAAUGCCUGCCAAUAACAUGAAAUAUUGAAUUUGGGAAAUGUGAAUUAAUUAAUUAGAAAAGGGUCAAAGAAAAUGCAAUGGAUGUGGAAACUAAUUCUUAAAAACAGCCCUAUUAGUAGGGCAGGAACUCUGAUCCAUUUCCCACCUGUGCUUCUCUCUAAGAGGUGUAGGAAAAACCCAUCUUGCAAAAUAGACCAAAAUAUUAAGACACACAAAAAAUAAAUAAAGACAUGGCUAAUAUUUCUACUGAUAAAGACUCUUCCUUUAAAAAGAGCUUAGUAAUAUGGCAGAAUGAACUUUAAACAGUUAGAAUCAAGAAUUGAUGUCCACAUAUUAUAUUUGCCCAAUACUGGCCUCUAUUUCCUGGGACCCCCUAGCUCGGAACUUUGACUCACAUUGCUGCAGCUUGGCUUUCUUUCAUUUAACAGGAAGUCAGCUCCUUGGUUAUUUUCCUAAGCUACAAAGGAGGGCAGAUAGCUCUGCUUCCUACUGCCUUAAGUCUUCAACUUGUUCAAAUUCCUAUAUCUAGUUGAUGGCAUCCUAGGCAAAUAUUGUAUUGUACAACAACCGUUUUGCGUUCACUGUUGGAUGAGAGAAACAAACAAAAAUCCCACAAAAACAAACAAACAAUGCAUCAUAUGACAAGCUGCCCUCCAAAAUGUUUUCCCUUUUCUCCAGCAGUAAAAUGGGGAUAAUACCCAUACACAUCUACCACACUGGGUAUUUUCAGAUAAAAGACACAAUAAAUAUAAAGGGAUUUUGGAAUUAGAAGAGAUAUAUAAACACAAAAAUUAUUAUAUCACCAGCAGGUGAUAGGAUGUGCAUUAGAAAUAUCUGCAUCUUUAUCAAGAUAGUAGAUACUGGCGAUAGUAAAUGAGGUUAGUUGGUUGGACCAGCUGAACUUCUAAAAGGUGAUAGAGUAAAAAAUCAGAGUUUUGGUAUACUCAGUUUAGAUUAAUAAGAGACACUUUUAUUUAUCUCAUAAAAUUAAUGUAUUCAAAUUGAAUAGGUAACCCUAGCAAACUACUUAAAAUACUGGUGCAGGCCAAAAAAGAUAGGCAAGAAUCUGUGUAUAGUUCGUUCACUGUUCAUCCUCACUUCCGUAAAGGAGAUUCAGAGCUCAUUCAUUAAUUUUUCCAUUCAUCCAACAACUAUAUAUAUUUCAGGAGCUAGUGCUAUGUGACAGACUUUCUGCCUUGUCCCAGAGACAGAGUAGUGAGCAGAAAGAGCCACAUCCCUUCCAUCAUGAAAAGUGUAGUCCAAGAGGAAAGCAGACAUUAAUUAAAUAGUCAUACUAAUGAAUUAAUUAUUUCAAAUGGAGUUAAGUGCUUUCAAAAAGAGGGGAAUGUGGUACUGUAAGAAUUGGUAGCACAGUACAUAAUGUAGAGGUUGGGAAAGAUUUCCCUAAGGAAAUGAAUGAUCAAUUCAAAGGCUAAUGAACAAGACUUGGCUAGGGAAAGGAGGUGUGUAGGGAGCAUUCUAAGCAGGGAAAACGGACAUUACUUUCGUACUGGCAUUCUUGCCAUCCCGAGAGCCAGAGGGUAUGUGGGUUAAGAUAAGAAUGAAGAGAGGCAGAGAUGACAGACUGUAAAAUACCUUCAAGGCUCUGCCAAAGAUUUCAGUCUUUCUCAUAAGAGAAAUGGAAAGGCAUUGAAUGGUUUAAGGGUUUGGUGGUGAUAGGAUGAAGGAGUAAUCACUUGGUUUGUGAUUUAAAAUAUCUUCUGAUUUGGGGGACAAAAUGAAUUCGAUUGAGCCCAGUAGACAUAAGGAAAUCAAAAAUAAGACUGUUAUAGGCAAGAGGUGACAGUAGCUUAGACUAAGGUAUUAGCAGGUCAUUCAGAGACUAGUUGCCAGAUUUCAGGGUUACCUGUGAUUUGCUGCUGCAUGUUGGAUGUAGAUUUCAGGAGGAAGAUUAAGGAAGCUUCCCAGACCUCAAACACCUCAAGUCCACCGAGGUGCUCAUAUGAUAUUAUUCUACAAAGAGUGAACAUUUGCUGAUAGACCUGAUUUCUUUGCUACCUGUUUUAUAGAUUUAAUACACAGUAGUGUGCUCUCUCUAUGCCAAUGUUUGUGACAGUUAAAUAAAUUUGGUCCUUGCCUACCAACUGCUUAGUUCCAUUGGGCCAUCAUCUUUAAAGUAGUCUCAUCUAUGUUCCGAGGAAGGUGCACAGAAUUCUAUUUUGUGUGCACAAGAUAGCUAUUUCUUCUUCUGGGGGAACACUUUAUUUUCAGAGAAAGCCUUAUAUCUCUUAUGCUUUUCACUGAAAAAAACUAAAUAUGUUCUGAUUUUGUAGAAAACUCAGCUACUAUUACUGUCUUCAGAAAAGUGCCCAAUUUUGUGGUUUAUUUCGCAGAAAGGCAUAGCUGGAUGUAGGAAAUGAUUAUAGAAGUGUAAUGUGCCCACUAUCAAAUUCCAGACCUAAACAGAAUUCAAGACAUCCACAAAGCAACAGGACUUUUUUAUCACUACACCUGAUAAGGAAGCAAAUUCCCAUUUAAGUCUACAAAUGCAGGUGUUCCUUGCCUGGUUUUGAUUAUUUCCAGAAACAUAAAUAACUAUUUACUGGGAUAUUCAUGCUUUGCUAUGCCUUGCCAGUGAUUUGUGUUGAUAAGUAAAGAUACACAGUUGGCCAUUUGUACUAGAUAAUUCCUCCUGAAUAAGAGUAUCUGUUCUUGAUAUCCAAUAUGAAGAGACUGUAAUAAGUACGAACUAACCAUAGGCUACCAACGACAAUGAACCAAGUUGUCAAAGACUAGAGUAAUUUUAUCUUUCCUUGAGAAUUACAAAUGCUUUUCAUAAGAAAAACUAUUUUUUAUUUACAAACCUGAAUUUGUUUGGCGAUUUUUGAGGACGUCUGUAUGUGCCUCAUGAAAAACAGCUGGUAUAUGUUGAAAUAAAUGUCAAAAUACAAUAUUUUAUUGCUGUUUUAGCAUACAUGAUUGUUUGCCAAAAAAUCAUGUUUUUCAUUUGACAAAAUUAACCUUCUUAUUAUAAAUGGAAGAUGCUAUGAUUCCAGAUAUUUGUUAGAUUCAAUUCAAUAAAUACUCAAAAUUAUUUAUGUUAUUCAGGGAAGGAGAUCUAGGACAGAACUUUAAAAGAAGUUAGGCCUUUGUGCUGAGAGCGCUACUGUCUAAAUGAGAAUCACUUCAGUAGCAGUUAGGUGAAUAUUAAGGAUGAACUUCACUUCUCUGGCCCCAAAAUGAAAUAUUCUCAAAAGGAAGGCUAACUAAAAUGAUUCAAAUUUCGAAGAAGAUUUAUUUAUGUAUAUAUUAAGGUUUGUGUGUGUGUGUUUCGGGGAUAUUUUAAUAUAAAUAUGCAUUUCUAGUGGUGAGAGUUAAUUGCAACUAGUACAAACUUCCAUUUUAAAGAAUAUUAUGCAGAGAGCACAUGGGCACAGGGAGGGGAACAUCACACACUGGGACC